UAAAAACCUAAUUCAUCUCUUUCGGGACUCUUUUUGAUUUCAGCCACCAUUUUCCUCUCCUCUCUUCUCCUCUCUUCUCCUUAUUGCUCCAUCCUUCUUCUUGCCGCCGUCGCCGCCGCCACUGUCGUUCCCGGGCUAUCGCGCGUUGCUGCGCCUCUCUGUAGCUGUUGCUGUUGCCGCGGCUGUGCCGCCAUUGCUGGAGCUGCCACCGCUGCCGCCACCACCGUUGCCACUCACCGCCGUUGCAACUGCCGAUCGUCGCCACUCCAUGAUUUUUGAUUCUCAUUUUCGAGAAACAAUACCAAAUAUCAGCGAUCAACAAAUUGAGCAAAUGCGAGAGCGAGAACUGGCUAAUUGGUUAAAAGACUAUGUGGGAAGGAACGAAGUUGAUAACUGCAUUUAUCAAAUAGCUCAAGGGCCCAGCCGAAAAGUACAAUCAUAUAAAGGAUAUUUUGUGAAUGGAUUUAAAUUUCAUCGACAUGAUUAUGGCAGAGAGCGAAAAACAUUAAAUAGUGGUGUAUGGG